rnacentral:rRNA from 1 species
GACGAACGCUGGCGGCGUGCUUAACACAUGCAAGUCGAGCGGUAAGGCUCCUUCGUGAGUACACGAGCGGCGAACGGGUGAGUAACACGUGCGUAAUCUGCCCUUCACUUUGGGAUAACCACCGGAAACGGUGGCUAAUACCGAAUACGACCAGUCUUCGCAUGAGGUGCUGGUGGAAAGUCUUUUCGGUGAAGGAUGUGCUCGCGGCCUAUCAGCUUGUUGGUGGGGUAAUGGCCUACCAAGGCUUCGACGGGUAGCCGGCCUGAGAGGGUGACCGGCCACACUGGGACUGAGACACGGCCCAGACUCCUACGGGAGGCAGCAGUGGGGAAUAUUGGACAAUGGGCGAAAGCCUGAUCCAGCAACGCCGCGUGAGGGAUGACGGCCUUCGGGUUGUAAACCUCUUUCAGUACCGACGAAGCGCCCUGUCGGGUGGUGACGGUAGGUACAGAAGAAGGACCGGCCAACUACGUG